UACGUAGGGGGCUAGCGUUGUCCGGAUUUAUUGGGCGUAAAGAGCGUGUAGGCGGCCAUGUAGGUCCGGUGUGAAAACUCGAGGCUUAACCUCGAGAUGUCAUCGGAAACCAUUUGGCUAGAGUCCGGAAGAGGAGAGUGGAAUUCCUGGUGUAGCGGUGAAAUGCGCAGAUAUCAGGAGGAACACCGGUGGCGAAGGCGGUGGUCUGGGCCGGAACUGACGCUGAGGAGCGAAAGCGUGGGGAGCGAACAGG
rnacentral:rRNA from 1 species